GCACGCCGUAUGAGAUGAAAGUCUCACGUACGGUGUAGAGCGGGGGAAAAGGUUGAGAUUGUGUUACUUAUACGCCU
rnacentral:ncRNA from 1 species